rnacentral:lncRNA from 1 species
UACCGAAAUUAUUUGAUGGGAGUGGGACUGGGACUAACUCUUAAAUAUUUCGUGCCCCUUUUCGGCUUUUCCGCCAUUUCUCCUGUAGACAUGUGGUCACCAUCAUGCUGUGAUAGGCUUAAUUUUGAAUACGACUUGUUCUACUGGAUAGUUGAGUUUAUCUACUUAUUUUCACAUUGUUAAUGUCAUUUAAUGUUUUCCGACUAAAACUUGUCUUCCAGAUAAGCUGGGGAAAAUCCGAUCCAACUUCGCUCGUAUCACGUGGAGCCAGAUGAAAUUUGGAAACUGGUUUGUAAAUCAGUGGAAACCACAAUGUUAGUAUUGCUGAGGCUGUUAGCUUUUGUUCAUCUACACAUUAUCGAUUGAUGGGAUUCACAAGAACAAUUUCUUGCCUGAACAGAAAGUAUUUUCGAUAAAUUUUCAUACAGUUUUAUAAUCCAUCCAUUUUUAGUUGUUUUUCUGAUCACCAAGCAGAACAUGUUUGUACAGCAAAUUCUAUAUUUGUGUUUCCAAUGCAGUUCAUGGUUAAAAGGAAGUAUAUUUCUUUUGUUUUCCUAGAUGUAAGUGGCUACUGAUCUGAAAGCCAUGAAAUUAUUAAAGUGUAAAGAUCUUGGCAUACAAUGACUGAAAUUCCUGAUAAUACCGUAAAUAUUUUAAGUUUACACUAUUUUUUGAAUAAUAAUGAAGCAUUCACAAUUGCAGAUUAUGGCAGUCCUGAAUGGUUCCUUGCUAGAUUAAAUGGUCAUAUGAUAGAUAUAAAAAAUUACAUUUGAAUAUAGUAAGUAAGAUCUGGAAUGUGUGCUAAGGCUAACUUGGACUAUUGUAAUGCCUUCAAAUUUUAUAAAUCCCUAAUGUAAACUAUGGACUUCACCAGAUAACGAUGCCUGUCCGAAACCAUUAGGUUUGGUCCAUAUUUUAGUAGUCCAUUUUGGACUGUCGCAAGUCCAUAGUUUAGUAACACCCGGCAACAGAGUCUGUUGCCGGGUGUUAAAGGGCCAAAAACAAAGAAUCGCCCGUGUCUGAAUUACAUGUUUUGGAACUGGAGUUAAUUUUUAGUGAUCUCCUGGAUGGAAGCAUGUUGCAGAUGGAAAAAGAUUCGUGUUUCAAUUGGAUUAUGUCGCAUCGUCAUCAUAAACCCCACAUCCAAGAUUCCAUAAAGGAUCGCAAUGCAGUCUCCAGCAAAUCUGUGUGAUAUUUUGGCCAAUUUGAUUUUUACAAGCAGAACAUUUGGUACAAUCAAGGAAGGAUGAGGCAUGAAAAAAGGACAAUCAGAUUGCAGAAUGUACUUGCAUAACAUACAACCUAAUGGAAUUCUGUUACAUUAAGUGCAUAUUCACACAGAAGCUUCUGGCUGAGAAGAGUGUUGGAUUUUAAGACACAUUCAACAUGCAGACCAAAUCCCAUAUUAUCCAAUGCAUUCAUCCUCAUUUGGUAACUUUCUCUUCUCUGGUUUAAUCAAAAUCUUUUUCAUAUGUGAUGAAAAUAUGAAACAUGUGGAAAUGCCAAAACUAGGGUAAAAUAAACUAGUUUCAGUUUA